UACAGAGGGUGCGAGCGUUGUCCGGAAUCACUGGGCGUAAAGGGCGCGUAGGUGGCGCCCCAAGUCCGUGGUGAAAGCUCGCUGCUCAACCCUGCGUCGGCCAGGGAUACUGCCGCGGCUCGAGCACUGUAGAGGCAGGCGGAAUUCCGGGUGUAGCGGUGGAAUGCGUAGAGAUCCGGAAGAACACCGAAGGCGAAGGCAGUGUCCUGGCUGGUGACUGACGCUGAGGUGCGAAAGCUAGGGGAGCGAACGGG
rnacentral:rRNA from 1 species